rnacentral:rRNA from 1 species
GACGAACGCUGGCGGCAUGCCUAAUACAUGCAAGUCGAGCGGAGUGGAUGAGAAGCUCGCUUCUCUGACGCUUAGCGGCGGACGGGUGAGUAACACGUAGGCAACCUGCCUUUCAGUUUGGGAUAACUUCCGGAAACGGAUGCUAAUACCGAAUACAUCAUCUUCUGGCAUCAGAGAAUGAGGAAAGACGGCGCAAGCUGUCACUGAGAGAUGGGCCUGCGGCGCAUUAGCUAGUUGGUGGGGUAAUGGCCCACCAAGGCGACGAUGCGUAGCCGACCUGAGAGGGUGAACGGCCACACUGGGACUGAGACACGGCCCAGACUCCUACGGGAGGCAGCAGUAGGAAAUCUUCCACAAUGGGCGAAAGCCUGAUGGAGCAAUGCCGCGUGAGUGAUGAAGGUUUUCGGAUCGUAAAGCUCUGUUGCCAGGGAAGAACGUCCGGGUGAGUAACUGCACCCGGAGUGACGGUACCUGAGAAGAAAGCCCCGGCUAACUACGUGCCAGCCGCCGCCGUAA